GCCCGGAUAGCUCAGUUGGUAGAGCACCUCCAUGGUAAGGAGAAGGUCGGCGGUUCAACUCCGCCUUCGGGCU
rnacentral:tRNA from 4 species